CAGUCGCCGCGGGAAUACGAAGGGUGCAAGCGUUAAUCGGAAUUACUGGGCGUAAAGCGUGCGUAGGCGGUGAGUUAAGUCUGCUGUGAAAUCCCCGGGCUCAACCUGGGAAUGGCAAUGGAUACUGGCAAGCUAGAGUGUGUCAGAGGAUGGUGGAAUUCCCGGUGUAGCGGUGAAAUGCGUAGAGAUCGGGAGGAACAUCAGUGGCGAAGGCGGCCAUCUGGGACAACACUGACGCUGAGGCACGAAAGCGUGGGAAGCAAACAGGAUUAGAUACCCGGGUAGUCCCUGUCUCUUAUAU
rnacentral:rRNA from 1 species